rnacentral:lncRNA from 1 species
AUGAGAGCAAACAGGCAGGAUCACAGCCCAGGAGUGAGAAAUAAGGUCUGAUGAGUCAGRUACUGGGAUUCUUUUCUGAAUAUUUAAAGACAACUAUGGUAAGGAAGAGACAGGUAAAUAUGGGGGGAAAGAAGAACCAGUUGCAGUAGCAGGGGAAAGAGAGCUUUCGCUGAAAGAAACUCUGAAGCACCUCAGAUUCUUCUGGCAUUAGCUACCUGGGUGGUGAAGAGGUGGAUCCUGAACACAGAAAGAACUUUAGUCCUGCAAGAGAAUGAGUUUCUAAACUCCUGCUGGUUGGAAUUAGAGGCACAAAUCUAGGGUCAUGGAACUGACCAGCUCCUGUGGUCAUACAGGAUCAGACUCAUAGCUUUGGCCUUAUUAUCCAGAGUUCUCUCAGCAGCACUGGAUGGUUCUCAGGCUACGCUGUACAUUCCAGAAUCAAUGAGUAG